GUCUUUGCCGCACUUACGGACUCACUCUGAGAGAAUCAGAAUAAAGAGAGCCCCAAAAUUGUUCCGCGGGGCGCGUAUUUAUGAGUGCGCGAAAAGCGUUAGAGGGGCACGCCGUUCCCCACCGUGCGAUCGUAGGGGAAGCAGCAAGCUCCUCCUUUUCUUUAAGUGAAUCCGUGAGCACAGUUCUUUGUUCUUUAAUAUACAUUUUAAAAUAAACGCAAUUGUUUAAACAAUAUGAUUUUCAGCUUAAAAUAACGAGAACAAUAAGUUGUAUCGUCGGCUUCCACCUGCAACGUUCUGUCCGUGGCGAUGUACUAAAUUGAACUGAGAGAAUUUGUUUAUAUUACUUUAUCAUUCGCGUGACGUAUUUGUCACUGAGGCCGCAUCACCUAUGCUUCAAGAGGAUGCUCUAUGGAUCUGUUACUUGAGCUCGCAAGCCGUCGCUGAGAAGAUACGACUAUGAAGAUUCCUCGCUUGCUUAAAGUGCGAUAUACCUGUAGUAAUCGUUAGUUGCAAAUUGAACUUGUUAGUUAACUAAUUGAGCUAGAGAUGUGAAAUUGAACCUUUAAUUGUAAAAUGUCAUUCCCUUUUACGUGCCCGUAUCAGAAAUAUUAAAUAUGUAUUAUUUAAAGAAUAUUCUUAUUUGACUUGUCUAUGUAGUAGGCACUCACGUACAUGCUGUGUGUAUGUGUGAGUGUAUGCAUGUGCAGUGAAAAGUGAUUUUAUACCGUUCUUACUUUAUAAGUUAAUAACUUUUAAACUAAUACGUAAAAAGUUUUGAAAUUUUGCAAGUGUGUUCCUUAAUGUUUGUUUUAAAUCGUAUUUAAGUUUAGUGAUUAAGAGAUGUAUUGUUUAAUUGUAAUAAAAUAUUAACUUAGCAAAAUGA